AUUGAACGCUGGCGGCAGGCCUAACACAUGCAAGUCGAACGAGUGGCGGACGGGUGCGUAAUGUCUGGGAAACUGCCUGAUGUAGGGGGCUAACUACUGGAAACGUUAGCUAAUACCGCAUACCAUCAGAUGUUCCCACAUGGGAUUAGCUUGUUGGUGGGGUAACGGCUGACCAAGGCGACGAUCCCUCGCUGGUCUGAGAGGAUGACCAGCCACACUGGAACUGAGACAAGGUCCAGAGUCCUACGGGAGGCAGCAGUGGGGAAUAUUGCACAAUGGGCGCAAGCCGGAUGCAGCCAUGCCGCGUGUAUGAAGAAGGCCUGCGGGUUGUAAAGUACUUUCAGCGGGGAGGCGUUACCCGCAGAAGAAGCACCGGCUAACUCCGUGCCAGCAGCCGCGGUAAUUC
rnacentral:rRNA from 1 species